CGGGUGAGUAACGCGUGGAUAACCUGCCUUACACUGGGGGAUAACACUUAGAAAUAGGUGCUAAUACCGCAUAAGCGCACAGAGCCGCAUGGCUCAGUGUGAAAAACUUCGGUGGUGUAAGAUGGAUCCGCGUCUGAUUAGCUGGUUGGCGGGGUAGAAGCCCACCAAGGCGACGAUCAGUAGCCGGCCUGAGAGGGUGAACGGCCACAUUGGGACUGAGACACGGCCCAAACUCCUACGGAAGGCAGCAG
rnacentral:rRNA from 1 species